UGGGGCGUGGCCAAGUGGUAAGGCAACGGGUUUUGGUCCCGCUAUUCGGAGGUUCGAAUCCUUCCGCCCCAG
rnacentral:tRNA from 25 species